AGUGAACGCUGGCGGUAGGCCUAACACAUGCAAGUCGAACGGCAGCACCGUAAGAGCUUGCUCUUACGGGUGUCGAGUGUCGGACGGUUGAGGAAUACAUCGGAUUCUACUUUUUCGUGGGGGCUAACGUAGGGAAACUUCCGCUAAUACCGCAUUCGACCUACGGGUGAGAGCAGGGGAUCUUCUGACCUUGCGCUAUUGAAUGAGCCGAUGUCGGAUUAGCUAGUUGGCGGGUUAAAGGCCCAGCUAAGCGACGAUCCGUAGCUGGUCUGAGCGGGUGAACAGACACAAUGGAACUGAGAAACGGUCCAGACACCUACGGGAGGAAGCAGUGGGGAAUAUUGGGCAAUGGGCGCAAGCCUGAUCCAGCCAUACCGCGUGGGUGAAGAAGGCCUUCGGGUUGUAAAGCCCUUUUGUUGGGAAAGAAAAGCAGCAGGUUAAUACCCCGCUGUUCUGACGGUACCCAAAGAAUAAGCACCGGCUAACUUCGUG
rnacentral:rRNA from 1 species